CGGUUGAACAAUACAGAAGUUUACAUAUACACAGCAAAGAUUCUCUAAAACAUGGAGUAGUUCUCAAAAUGCAUGUACUAACUGUAGUAAAAAGCACCAUUCUCUAUGUCUUGACACAGGAUUUACAUUGGCAUCAUAUUUACAUCAAGAAAUAAACAUCUGGAAACAGAAAUUCACACUCUUGUCUGCUGCUCCCUGUUUCGGCUGUUUACUGUUAGGGGGAUGGCCCCCAACGUUGAUGAUUGACAGCGACAUUCCUAGAGCACCAAUUCUAAGGACAGGGGUCAAGGCAAGCUUGGUUCUCUGGUGAAAGCUAAAAUGAAGAAAGCCCUCUCAAUCCUCCACACCCUCCAGACAGAAUAAGAAAUCAAAAUUUAAAAUCUGGGUAAAUCUUAGAAACAAGUGCUUUACUAAUUCUUAUUUUAUGAUUUUGAGAGAAGACAAAGAUACUCAAUUUCUUCAGCCAUUCAAUAGCUGAUGGUAACAGUGCCAGGCAAUUAUUUCUUCUUUCAGAAGAUAGGGUAAGAAAAUCAUCCAUGUAAUAAAUUAAUGAAAAAAUCAUGAUAAAUCACAUAUCAUACCCCCCUGCCCCUAUCCCCAAAUAUUUCCAAAAAUAAAACAUCCCACAGUCUACAGAGAUCUGAUCGUGUAGAAUGAGAAAAAACACCUCAUCUAAAAGGGUCUUUGGGUCAUCUUCUCCCAGGAAGGGUUUUUAAAAUCAGGAGUAGCCAGCUACUGAAACCUACUGCAUCCAAGAGUUAGACAUACAAAAAUAAGAGACUGACAUGCAGGAAAUUGCUUUGCAGCCUUUGACUUUCUGGUGUUCAACACAGAGGGCAGCCACGUGGGGAAGAGGAUUAGCUGCCUUGGGCUGAGUUUGCUGGUCCUGAAGCUUACAGUUUUGGUUACAGAGAGGCUUGUCUGGCACGCCGAUUUGGUCUACCUCGAGCUUUGAAAGUUGUGUCUAACCCUGGUGUCAGUUUAUCACAAGUGCAUUAAAAAUAUAGAGAUCUAUCAAGUUCCACAUUUAUAUGCCAUCAAAUGGAAAAGGACCAGACAAACAGUGCAAAGGUCAAAUAAUCACUAUUUUAUAUCGGGACAGUACAUUUCAUAUUUCAACCGAAAGACAAAAAUGCAGUUUAACUCAAAAGGCACAACAAUUAAAACACAGAAAAUAACGGCAUCUCUCAGAUGCCUUAUUUCUAAAUUAAACAAACAAAAUACAUGAGUUUUGUUCCCUUCCCUCCCUCAACGCAAGCCCACAAGCUUUUCCCAAAGUCUUAAGUUUUCGAUGCCAUACAGCAUCCAGCAUCGUGGACUUGUGAGGCGCUUGAAGGUAGCAAUUAAAAUGCUUGCGAGGUCUAGUGAAUGGCAUUCAAAAGGGACCUCAAAGUGCAGUUAUAUCUUUUUUCAAACAUGUUACAGGCUGAGCUGGCUCUUUGAACACUAUCACUCUGCUUAAAUUCAGGAAGCAGGCUUUAAAAAUGCAAAAGGCAUACAAGUUGUAUUUC
ensembl:lncRNA